GGUUCCAUGGUGUACUGCUAGCACUCUGGACUUUGAAUCCAGUGAUCCGAGUUCAAAUCUCGGUGGAACCU